rnacentral:lncRNA from 1 species
UUGUCACUGACAUGAACAAAAUCUGACGUGUAAGCUCUGGAAUGAAACCAAGUGUCCGAGGCGCGUGUUUGUUUCCUUGUAUUGUGUGUUUAUAUCAUGUGAGGGCGGGGGCACUGAAAUUGUCUAUUCAGUAAUAAUAACGUUAUGUUGUUCAACUGUCUUCUUUACUUUAUCCUAGUUCCCAUAGCUCCUGUUCCCAUGCCUGUCCCUGACCACGACAUGAGCAAGUGGAUCUGCUCACAACAUCAAAAGCUGUGGAUGAGGACGGAGCUUCAACAACUUGGGUUGUGGCCUGGGUCCCGACCAGUGCAUAACCCUGGGAACGCAAUUUCUCUUUGGCGUCUUCCUCCUCAACCGGACCUCGAGUGAUCGUCAGCGUCCGUGUCCAGUAUUUUAUCUUUUCCUCGCGACUCUGCUGCAAGGCCUGUCGCAGGAACUGGUUCGCUGACAACCCUCGAUGGGUGGAGAAGCUGCCCGUGCGCUUUACUAACCUUUUCCCUGCAUUCCUGACUUACAAGAAGGCUGUGUGCAAGUCAGUAAUGGAUGAACUGCGGCGUUCUGGCAAGUCACCGACUGAUAUGGCGAACCAGGUGAAUGAGCUCAUGCACCUCAAGUAUGAACGAGCUCACCUGGCAUAUCUGCACGCUGUACAGAACGUCAGGGAUGCUGAGGCUGGGGCGUACAGACAGAGAACCAUCGGCCAGUACGUGAGGAUGGAAGAUCGGCCACGUGCUUUCGGGUCAUACGGGGACCAAGAAGGUUGGGGUGGGGUGUCUGUGUCCGGAUUCUACCUGACUGACUGCCUGCUGGAUGAGUUCAAGCGUCAACAGCCGUCUCUGACCAAGCUCCUCCAGGGCACGUUCGGGCAGGUUUUCAGGUCGGACCACACGAGGAAGAUGGCAAGGAAGGUGACACUGGCAUCUGGAGCCAUGUCCAGUUUCGCAGUGUUGAAUGAGAACUGGCUCAUUGUGUCCUGGGUGAUGGUUCAGGCUGAGACAGAAAGUUCCCUGCAUCCGAUGUACCAAGGAAUGGCCCAGAGGUACAGCGACGCUGGGGUGGAAAAGGCCGGCUACCACUGGAUGGACAGGGAUUGCUGCGCUCCAUUUAAGAUCCCGGACUGCGUCCCUGGUGAACAUCUGUGCUGGGAUGCCUGGAAGACCACCCCUUCCAUUGUUGCAGGAGCCACCUCUGGAGCGCUGACCAACACCUGCGCCUCACGGGCACAUUACAACAGCAGCAUCGUUGUGAAACUAGACUUGUUUCACUGUAUGAGGCGCUUUGGACGAGAGUGCACCUCUGAGCACCAUCCUCUGUUCAGCCUUUUCUGCCAGCUCCUUUCUGCCGCCUUCUCUGUGGUGGAUCAGGAAGACCUGAAGAGGCUCCGUGAUGCCUACGAGUUCUGCGGAAUCGGUCCAGCCAACCCCACCAAACGGCACGUCCGAGAGCACUGCAGAACUAAAAUUCCACAACCCACCGAGCUGCUGGAGAGAGUUCUGCAGCACUUUCACCUGGCCACGGACCCUAACGAUGUCCCACUCUUCAAGCCAUCCAUGCUGAAGACGUGGCGCGUUCAGAGGGUUCACAUCCUCCGUGGUUGCCUCAGUGACCCAGAACUGUCUGAGGGGAUAAUGUACAGGGACGGAGGGACCCUUCAGCUAAACCACGUAGCGGGCGAAGGUGCCAAAGUCCCCGUCUGGAUCCCUGUCCGUGGUACAUCUCAGCAGGAGGGCUACCAUUUCCACCAGGCCCAGUGGGUCACGGGUACGCAGGUCUCCCCUGAACUGUUCCAGGCCCAGGCCAUGACCGGCGUUGUGCGGUGGAACUUUCAGCGACUGGUAGACAUGAAGAAGCCCGGCGUCGUCCUCCCUGCUGUCUUUGACCCUGCCUUAAUGUGGGAGUUGAACUCUGCUUCCAUGGCAGUAACGGGACAAGACAAGUACCCUGCGACAGAGACACUGGAGAAAGGUUUGGGCUGGAGUACAGAGAACCGGGCUGCCGUCCGGUCCCUCUGGACUGGGACAAACACAAAAUGCAGAAGAGGGAUCCGCCUUCGGCUCUUGUGCCCCCUCCCGCUCCAGACGAUGCUCCUGGCGCAACACCUUCCUCCAGCUGGGCAACACUGACUGCUGUGCCGUCGCUUCCCCCUGCACCACCUGUCAGCUUCCAUCUCUCUGCUGCUGGACGUGUAAAGGAGAUUCCAGCAGAGGAUGACCAGGAUCCUGAAAGAUCAGUGGGUGGGUCAACGAUAAUCGUGUUUUUCAGAGUGGCAUGUUGGAAUUAAGGCGUUCGAAUGAUUGAAAAUAAAUAGAUUUAGUUAGGUUGUGGUCAGUGUAUCUCAAUUUUUUGAUGUGUUAAAUAUUACACUUUCUGUUAUUAAGGGAUCAAUAUUAAUGUGUUUUCUCAAUAGCCCAUAUUGCGAUAAUAUGAGUUACUAAGGAUGCAUUAUUGCUUUGUUUGUGUUCCAGACGUCUCUGGAGCUUUGCCCCUGCCGCUGAAGUCCUCGCCGAGGAGUGCCCGCACUGGACCCGUAAAGACUGGUGGUCGAGUGUUUGUCUUGGACCACACACACCGGACUCUUCCCAUGAAAGACGCUAUUGAUAGUUUGCUGCAGUAUCAUCAUGGGGAGAAGGACAUCCUGAGGCUUGUGGAUCGAGACUACGCAGACAUGGUCCAUCGGUCUGCGGCCGAUCCUAACAGCUUGCUCCACCCCACAACCAGGUUUCACAUAUCCCGCUAUGUGAAGCAUCUGACAAAGCUGUUGAACACCAGUUCUUCUCUGAACACCAGCCCAGAGAAGCUCCUGGAGACUCAACAGCUGUGGUACUCCUUGACGGAGGGGAGCAAAACAACCAGCGUUCCUGUAGUCACCAUGGAGACAGCUGUUGUCACUCCUCCCACAGCCGCCCUGCCCACGCCUCUGACGCAGGACUCCAUUGAAAAAAUUGUGCAGGGCAUUCUAGAGAGGCAGCAGCAGUAGCACCGACCAGAGCAGAAGAUGAGACAGACGAAAACCUGUCUCGCCUGUGGACAGCCCAAGUCUCGGUAUGGGACGGAUGGAUCUUCCAUCCACUUUUUCUGUCAGCAGGGUCCUGUUCGCUACUUCUACUGCUCAAGGAAGGUGCAUCAGACUUAUGCUGCUGAGGGACUCUCUGACCCCAGAAUGCCCUUUGAACAAUUUGCCAUGUCAGAGUUUUUCCAGAGGCAGUUGGAGGCCACCAAAAAGCGUGUGGAGGAAAAAGCUCGGAGACAGAGACUUGGCUCUCAGCCACCUGAUCGCCUCUGCAGGUUCUGCCAUUUGACUCUAAAAGAAGGACCAAACAGCCCACAUAUACAUACAGGGUUCCCUGGAGUGGCAGGUAAACACAUUUACUGCUCAUCCAAAGUCUAUUCUCUAUAUCGGGACAAGGGGAUGGCCCGAGAGAUGACUUGGAAAGAGUUUGUGGCCACUCCUUUCUUUGAGGCAGAGGGACGAAGAUGGAUGUAGGAAAGGACAAAAUGAACUACAUGCCAGGAAUGCAUGUUGCACUGUACAUAGUUAUGAAAUGUUGCACUACUGUACAUAGUUUUACAUUUAAUAUUUAACUCCUGUACACACUUUUGAGAUUUAAUGUUGCACUCCUGUACACAGUUUGAGAUUUAAUGUUGCACUGAGAUUUAAUGUUGCACUAUUGUACAUCGUUUUACAUUUAAUAUUUAACUCCUGUACAUAGUUUGAGAUUUAAUGUUUUAUGAGUGUGUUUGUUUUUAAAUAAAAUUGAAUUUCCCACUCUGGUCC